GGAGGUCGAGGCUGCAGUGAGCCAUGAUCACGCCACUGCACUCCAGCCUGGGCGACAGAACGAGAGCCCAUCUCAAAAAAAAACCAAAACAAAACAACAACAACAACAACAAAAAACUAAAAAACUCUUAAAAAACCUGAGGACUCCUGGAUGAAUACUGCUAUGUGCCUGUUUCUCCAUUACCCCUAUAUUUUUGAUUAUUUUCCCUUUCUUUCUUUCCUCACUCUGUUGUGCAGGCUGGAGUGCAGUGGCAUGACAGCUCACUGCAGCCUCCACCUCCCCAGACCCAGGUGAUCAUCCCACCUCAGGCCCCCAAGUAGCUGCGACUAUAGGUGCUCACCAU
rnacentral:lncRNA from 1 species